rnacentral:rRNA from 1 species
UACGGAGAGUGCAAGCAUUAAUCGGAAUUAUUGGGCGUAAAGGGCGCGUAGGCGGAUAUAUAAGUCAGAUGUGAAAUUCCGAAGCUCAACUUCGGAGCUGCAUUUGAAACUGUAAAUCUCGAGGAUUGACGGAGAAAACGGAAUUCCACGUGUAGCGGUGAAAUGCGUAGAUAUGUGGAAGAACACCUGUAGCGAAAGCGGUUUUCUAGUUUAUACCUGACGCUGAGGCGCGAGAGCAAGGGGAGCAAACAGG